rnacentral:rRNA from 1 species
GAUGAACGCUGGCGGCGUGCCUAAUACAUGCAAGUCGAGCGAACAGACGAGGAGCUUGCUCCUCUGACGUUAGCGGCGGAAGGGUGAGUAACACGUGGAUAACCUACCUAUAAGACUGGGAUAACUUCGGGAAACCGGAGCUAAUACCGGAUAACAUGUUGAACCGCAUGGUUCAACAGUGAAAGACGGUCUUGCUGUCACUUAUAGAUGGAUCCGCGCCGCAUUAGCUAGUUGGUAAGGUAACGGCUUACCAAGGCAACGAUGCGUAGCCGACCUGAGAGGGUGAUCGGCCACACUGGAACUGAGACGCGGUCCAGACUCCUACGGGAGGCAGCAGUAGGGAAUCUUCCGCAAUGGGCGAAAGCCUGACGGAGCAACGCCGCGUGAGUGAAGAAGGUCUUCGGAUCGUAAAACUCUGUUAUUAGGGAAGAACAAAUGUGUAAGUAACUAUGCACGUCUUGAUGGUACCUAAUCAGAAAGCCACGGCUAACUACGUG